rnacentral:tRNA from 1 species
UCCCUGGUAGCUCAGCUGGUAAAGCAUCUGCCUGCAAUGUAUGAGACCUGGGUUCAAUCCCUGGGUUGGGAA